rfam:Petrimonas mucosa isolate ING2-E5A genome assembly, chromosome: I
GAAGCAUGGUCAAAACAAGUUCAUCGUGAGAAGUCAGCAGAAGCCAUAGUACCACAUCACGACCAGAUAUGGGAAGGGC